CAGACACGAAAGAACGGGAGUGAUCAACAGCCAAAUUCAGUGAAGACACCUAAAAACGAUUAGAGCUACAACAAAAGGUAAACAAGCGCCCCUUGGAGGUUGCAGUGUGAAGCCCGGAGUCAUGAUGAUAAAGAGCAUUUCUCUUCCGACUAAUGAGCAGAAUUAAAAGUGCAAAACGCGAUGAUCACAAUGAGGAUAAGGUACAUUUCCCUGUUUUAAAAUGUCUUCAGCCUAGACGGUGGUGGACAACACUUUGUACGGAUAAAUGUGUGAACGAAACAAGAUAGAAAACGUAAUACGGAUUUGUCAUUUAUUUAUGUUUCAUUUAUAUAUCAUCGAGAACCAUUUUUGUUUCGUCAGGUAAAUGUUUAAAUCUGUUAAUCGAAAUGUUUUUGUUAAUCCCACAGAAACCCCGCAAAAGGAUCUUGCGGAUCAUCAUAAACAUUUUUGUAUGAACACGUCACGUACCAUCUGAAAUUACAAACUAUUGACUGCCAGAAAUCCAAAUACUAACCAUAACCAUAUAGGGAGGCUACCCUCUGCUGGAUACAAGUGGUACUGCACCCAACCCACUCAUUUUUAUUUGGUGGCUUUAACGCACAUACAUAUACAGAUACACAUUUUUCCCUGCUCAAUGGAACAAACAGCCAUUACUACAGCUUAGUUUGGGGUCUUUUCUGCCUCUUCUUGGUCACAAUUACACGAUUCACCUGAGACCUGAGGUACUUCCUGGCAUUUUGAGCACAUUGUGUUACUACACUAAUGCUGUGCAACUUUAAAUUAGGAUCCAUAAAAAAAAA